ensembl:snoRNA
ACCGCCUUCUGAAGGCAGUGCAGGUGUGGCUGUUGUGUCACAAGUGUGUCAGUGGGUGGCAGAGAAGAGAGAGGCUAUGUCCACACUUAGUGCUCUGGCCUCUGAGCAUCUGAAUGACGAGUAGCCUAACACU